UACGGGGGGGGCAAGCGUUGUUCGGAAUUACUGGGCGUAAAGGGCUCGUAGGCGGCCAACUAAGUCAGACGUGAAAAUCCCUCGGCUUAACCGGGGAACUGCGUCUGAUACUGGAUGGCUUGAAUCCGGGAGAGGGAUGCGGAAUUCCAGGUGUAGCGGUGAAAUUCGUAGAUAUCGGGAGGAACACCAGUGGCGAAGGCGGAGACCUGGGCCGAUACUGACGCUGAGGUGCGAAAGCGUGGGGAGCAAACAGG
rnacentral:rRNA from 1 species